AUAACUAACAAAUUAAGACCGUGGGACCAUACGGUCUAACAAAUGUCUUAUAGAAGCAAUAAUAAGUGUCAUAAUCCGUACUUCCCCAGCAUAACUGUAAGACGUUACCGCAUCCGUUUUAACUUUUAUAUGGUUUUAUAAGGGAAGCUGAGCAAGCCUGUCGCCAUUAUCACGAAGACCAGUAAUGACAGUAUAUUGACAGGAAAAAAACAGAUAAAUAAUAAAAUGCCUUUGGUUAGGAAAAGAGGCAGACAUUAUGCCCAUGUUACAUAUGAAAGAGGUACAGAUGCCCUUAAAGUUUUUGAUGAAGUAAAGAGCAAGAUAUUGUCCCAUCUGGCAGCAAUACUGUAUGACACUGUAUGACCAAUUCACAGACAAUUUGACAAAGAAUAACAAUAGAACACCAACAAUUCACAUAUGAGACGAUGUUUUAUGGUGAAUGGUUAUAGUAAUUUAGACAAGCAAAACAUGCAUUAAAGACUGUCAGUGUUGCUUGGAUUUUCUCCAUAUGGUCAUUUAAGAAGAAAAUUGAUAGAGGAAAGAUACAGAUAUGCAAGAAUUUAAUAUUUGAAAUGCACUUAAUAUUUCUUUUGUAUAUGACCAUUAAAUUUUGGCAGUCAUUGUUAUCUCUGCUAUACAAACAAAUAUAUCUUGUAAAAUUUAUUCAUAAGAGGAAGCUUUAAUAACAAAUAUCUAACCACAUUAGAUAUUGUUUAUGCCCCAACUACAAUAGUAGAGGGGCAUUAUGUUUUCUGGUCUAUGUGUCCAUUCGUCCGCCCCUUUGUCCGUCUGUCCCUCUCCAGGUUAAAGUUUUUGGUCAAGGUAUUUUUUGAUAAAGUUGAAGUGAAAUCAACUUAGAACACAUAUUCCCUAUGAUAUUAUCUUUCUAACUUUAAUGCCAAAUUAGAUUUUUGAUCCCAUUUCACUGUCCACUGAACAUAAAAUAAUAGUGUGAGUGGGGCAUCCUUGUACUUAAUGGACACAUUCAUGUUUGCCAAUUUUUUAAUUAGUCUAAAACAAAUCUAUUUUUUUUUAUUCUGUGGGAUUCAAAAGAUUUUGUUAUUUGUGAUAAUUAUUUAUUUUGAAGUCUGAGAACAUUUCAUACAAAUUUCAAAUUCUAAAUAAGACAUCUAUACAGCACAUACUCCAUCAUAAAUUGUGUUAAUGAUAAUGUUGACUAUAUAUCAUUUUUAUUAAAGAAAAAAAAUAAUGUAUCGCUUAUUAUGUGCAUUCCUAUGACUAUCCAUACUCUUGACUUACUUAAUAUUCAUGUGUUUACAUUAAUUACAUAUAUUUAAGUAAAACAUUUCAAUGUAUGUCUUCGUAACAAUAUCACACGUAUGAAAUGUUUUUUUGGUUUUUUUUUAGCUGUAUAUUCUCUGUGAGGGUUAUUCCAUUAAAAUGUAUCAGGGAGGGAAGUUAAAUUAUUGAACUUGGGUCAUGGGUCUUAAUUAUACCCCUGCUUUCCGUUUAAAAAAAAGGGGGGUAUACUGUUUUACCUCUGUCUGUCAGUCCGUCAGUCCGUCCGUCCUUCUGUCCCAUGAAUAUUUUUCGUCGCAUUUUUCUCAGGAACUACAAUACAAGGAUUUCUGAAAUUUAAUUUCAGGGUUUAUAUAAGUCAGCUAUACCGUGUGAUGCGUUUUCAGAUUGAUCACUUGACAAUUUCCUGUUUACCGAACACUUGUAUGAUUUGACACAUGAUAGCCAAGUUGAAAAUUUUCGUCACAUUUUUCUCAGGAACUACAAUACAAGGAUUUCUGAAAUUUGGUUUCAGUGUUUAUCUAAGUCAGCUAUACCGUGUGAUGCGUUUUCAUAUUGAUCACUUGACAACUUCCUGUUUACCAAACACUUGUAUGAUUUUACACAUGAUAGCCAAGUUGAAAAUUUUCUUCAAAUUUUUCUCAAGAAUUACAAUACAAGGAUUUCUGAAAUUUGGUUUCAGGAUUUAUAUAAGUCAGCUAUACCGUGUGAUGCGUUUUCAGAUUCAUCACUCGACAACUUCCUGUUUACCAAACACUUGCAUAUUUUAACACUAUUAAUAUUAUCCACUUGUGACGGGGAUAUCAUCAGUGAGCAGUAGCUCGCAUUUUCACUAGUUCAGUUUGCAUCUUUUAUCAUAAUGUAGAAUUAUCUAAAAUAUUGUUCUUAAUUGUAGGGAUAUUUUGAUAGUCCCUACCUACUCUCAGUUCAAUGGAAAAGCCCUCACAAACUUUCUUUGCUUUUUAUCAUAGAUGCAAUAAGAACAUUAACUGAAUGAUUUAUUAUUUGUAAUGUUUGUGACUCAUGUUGUUUGAAAUGACAUUGAAUGAAAUAAAGUUUGUACC